rnacentral:rRNA from 1 species
UGGGGAAUAUUGGGCAAUGGGCGCAAGCCUGACCCAGCAACGCCGCGUGAAGGAAGAAGGCUUUCGGGUUGUAAACUUCUUUUGUCAGGGAAGAUGAAGAGACUGUACCUGACGAAUAAGCCACGGCUAACUACGUGCCAGCAGCCGCGGUAAUACGUAGGUGGCAAGCGUUGUCCGGAUUUACUGGGUGUAAAGGGCGUGUAGGCGGGAAGAUAAGUCAGGCGUGAAAACCAGAGGCUCAACCUCUGGCCUGCGUUUGAAACUGUUUUCUUGAGUACUGGAGAGGUUGACGGAAUUCCUAGUGUAGCGGUGAAAUGCGUAGAUAUUAGGAGGAACACCAGUGGCGAAGGCGGUCAACUGGACAGCAACUGACGCUGAGGCGCGAAAGCGUGGGGAGCAAACAGGAUUAGAUA